CAGCAGCCGCGGUAAUACGAAGGGUGCAAGCGUUAAUCGGAAUUACUGGGCGUAAAGCGUGCGUAGGCGGUUUGUUAAGUCUGUUGUGAAAUCCCCGGGCUCAACCUGGGAAUGGCAAUGGAUACUGGCAGGCUAGAGUGUGAUAGAGGAUGGUGGAAUUCCCGGUGUAGCGGUGAAAUGCGUAGAGAUCGGGAGGAACAUCAGUGGCGAAGGCGGCCAUCUGGAUCAACACUGACGCUGAGGCACGAAAGCGUGGGGAGCAAACAGGAUUAGAUACCCGAGUAGUCCCUGUCUCUUAUAC
rnacentral:rRNA from 1 species